rnacentral:rRNA from 1 species
UGGGGGAUAUUGCACAAUGGGCGAAAGCCUGAUGCAGCGACGCCGCGUGGGGGAUGAAGGCCUUCGGGUUGUAAACUUCUUUUGCUCUGAACAAGGCAUGCUAAUGGGUGUGUUGAGUAUAGGGGUUGAUUAGCGCCGGCUAACUACGUGCCAGCAGCCGCGGUAAUACGUAGGGCGCGAGCGUUGUCCGGAAUUAUUGGGCGUAAAGGGCUUGUAGGUGGCUGGUUGCGUCUGUCGUGAAAGCUCAUGGCUUAACUGUGGGUUUGCGGUGGGUACGGGCUGGCUUGAGUGCAGUAGGGGAGGCUGGAAUUCCUGGUGUAGCGGUGGAAUGCGCAGAUAUCAGGAGGAAUACCGGUGGCGAAGGCGGGUCUCUGGGCUGUUACUGACACUGAGGAGCGAAAGCAUGGGGAGCGAACAGG